rnacentral:lncRNA from 1 species
AGAAGUGACUCCUGCCGUAGCUGCGGCAGGCCUGGAGGCCGUACUGGGACCUGGCCAAAGACCCAGAAGUCCAGCUUUGAAGAAAACCUGGAGAAAGAGAGAGUCACAAAUCAUCUCCAUACUGCAGGAGAUGCAGAAAUGGCAGAAGAACCCUCUGCACCUGGCCUGGGUUCGGGUAAUCAGCUGGGCCAGCUUGUCAUCUCGCAUCUCCUCUAGGAGCCCCAGAAGACCAGCUUUGAAAAAGACCUGUGAAUGGAAAGAGUUGCAAAUCACAAGCUUUAAUAAAGUUCAAAGGGACAGGAAUAGCAUCAGAAUACACCAUAAUCAGGAGAAACUGACCUCUGUUUGAAGUCUGCAUAAAGGAUUCUGCUUGGAAAUCCUUUCCUACAGAUGCGGAUGCCUUCCAGCACACCGUUACACCUCAGCUGGUGGAGGACAAGCUCAUGCUCCAUGGCACCUAAAAAUGCAUAUUUAUUUCACUGCAGAGCUGUUGAAAAG